rnacentral:rRNA from 1 species
GACGAACGCUGGCGGCGUGCUUAACACAUGCAAGUCGAACGGAAAGGCCCUGCUUUUGUGGGGUGCUCGAGUGGCGAACGGGUGAGUAACACGUGAGUAACCUGCCCUUGACUUUGGGAUAACUUCAGGAAACUGGGGCUAAUACCGGAUAGGAGCUCCUGCUGCAUGGUGGGGGUUGGAAAGUUUCGGCGGUUGGGGAUGGACUCGCGGCUUAUCAGCUUGUUGGUGGGGUAGUGGCUUACCAAGGCUUUGACGGGUAGCCGGCCUGAGAGGGUGACCGGCCACAUUGGGACUGAGAUACGGCCCAGACUCCUACGGGAGGCAGCAGUGGGGAAUAUUGCACAAUGGGCGGAAGCCUGAUGCAGCAACGCCGCGGGCGGGAUGACGGCCUUCGGGUUGUAAACCGCUUUCGCUCAUGACGAAGCUUUGUGUGACGGUAGUGGGUAAAGAAGCACCGGCUAACUACGUG